rnacentral:rRNA from 1 species
UGCUAAUCUGCGAUAAGCGUCGGUAAGGUGAUAUGAACCGUUAUAACCGGCGAUUUCCGAAUGGGGAAACCCAGUGUGUUUCGACACACUAUCAUUAACUGAAUCCAUAGGUUAAUGAGGCGAACCGGGGGAACUGAAACAUCUAAGUACCCCGAGGAAAAGAAAUCAACCGAGAUUCCCCCAGUAGCGGCGAGCGAACGGGGAGCAGCCCAGAGCCUGAAUCAGUGUGUGUGUUAGUGGAAGCGUCUGGAAAGGCGCGCGAUACAGGGUGACAGCCCCGUACACAAAAAUGCACAUGCUGUGAGCUCGAUGAGUAGGGCGGGACACGUGGUAUCCUGUCUGAAUAUGGGGGGACCAUCCUCCAAGGCUAAAUACUCCUGACUGACCGAUAGUGAACCAGUACCGUGAGGGAAAGGCGAAAAGAACCCCGGCGAGGGGAGUGAAAAAGAACCUGAAACCGUGUACGUACAAGCAGUGGGAGCACGCUUAGGCGUGUGACUGCGUACCUUUUGUAUAAUGGGUCAGCGACUUAUAUUCUGUAGCAAGGUUAACCGAAUAGGGGAGCCGAAGGGAAACCGAGUCUUAACUGGGCGUUAAGUUGCAGGGUAUAGACCCGAAACCCGGUGAUCUAGCCAUGGGCAGGUUGAAGGUUGGGUAACACUAACUGGAGGACCGAACCGACUAAUGUUGAAAAAUUAGCGGAUGACUUGUGGCUGGGGGUGAAAGGCCAAUCAAACCGGGAGAUAGCUGGUUCUCCCCGAAAGCUAUUUAGGUAGCGCCUCGUGAAUUCAUCUCCGGGGGUAGAGCACUGUUUCGGCAAGGGGGUCAUCCCGACUUACCAACCCGAUGCAAACUGCGAAUACCGGAGAAUGUUAUCACGGGAGACACACGGCGGGUGCUAACGUCCGUCGUGAAGAGGGAAACAACCCAGACCGCCAGCUAAGGUCCCAAAGUCAUGGUUAAGUGGGAAACGAUGUGGGAAGGCCCAGACAGCCAGGAUGUUGGCUUAGAAGCAGCCAUCAUUUAAAGAAAGCGUAAUAGCUCACUGGUCGAGUCGGCCUGCGCGGAAGAUGUAACGGGGCUAAACCAUGCACCGAAGCUGCGGCAGCGACGCUGAUGCGUUGUUGGGUAGGGGAGCGUUCUGUAAGCCUGCGAAGGUGUGCUGUGAGGCAUGCUGGAGGUAUCAGAAGUGCGAAUGCUGACAUAAGUAACGAUAAAGCGGGUGAAAAGCCCGCUCGCCGGAAGACCAAGGGUUCCUGUCCAACGUUAAUCGGGGCAGGGUGAGUCGACCCCUAAGGCGAGGCCGAAAGGCGUAGUCGAUGGGAAACAGGUUAAUAUUCCUGUACUUGGUGUUACUGCGAAGGGGGGACGGAGAAGGCUAUGUUGGCCGGGCGACGGUUGUCCCGGUUUAAGCGUGUAGGCUGGUUUUCCAGGCAAAUCCGGAAAAUCAAGGCUGAGGCGUGAUGACGAGGCACUACGGUGCUGAAGCAACAAAUGCCCUGCUUCCAGGAAAAGCCUCUAAGCAUCAGGUAACAUCAAAUCGUACCCCAAACCGACACAGGUGGUCAGGUAGAGAAUACCAAGGCGCUUGAGAGAACUCGGGUGAAGGAACUAGGCAAAAUGGUGCCGUAACUUCGGGAGAAGGCACGCUGAUAUGUAGGUGAAGUCCCUUGCGGAUGGAGCUGAAAUCAGUCGAAGAUACCAGCUGGCUGCAACUGUUUAUUAAAAACACAGCACUGUGCAAACACGAAAGUGGACGUAUACGGUGUGACGCCUGCCCGGUGCCGGAAGGUUAAUUGAUGGGG